UACAGAGGGUGCGAGCGUUGUCCGGAAUCACUGGGCAUAAAGGCGCGUAGGCGGCCGGUAAGGUUGCGGUGAAAGCCCGGGGCUCAACCCCGGGUCGGCCGUGGCAACUGCUGGGCUGGAGCACUGUAGAGGCGGGUGGAAUUCCGGGUGUAGCGGUGGAAUGCGUAGAGAUCCGGAAGAACACCAGUGGCGAAGGCGGCCCGCUGGGCGAGUGGCUGACGCUGGAGGCGCGAC
rnacentral:rRNA from 1 species